rnacentral:siRNA from 1 species
GACUCGUCUUUAAAUAAUGGUGGU